GACAAUUUGAUUUUCGAAUGCAUGAUUUUAAACUUGUUCGAGGAAUAUAAGUUUUACCCAAGGUAUCCAGAACUGCAACUCAAAAUUGCCGGACUUAUCUUUGGUUCUGUGACUGAGCAUCAUCUUGUGACCCACCUCUCUCUGGGAUAGCAGUCUUUGAUAUGUUCUUGAUGCAUUGCGCAAGCCUGCAGAUUCUAAAGUUUGUGUUUUUUUGAAGAGUGGAUUUCUUUUAAGGUCCAUUUGAUAUUUGCUUGAUCGUGCCUUCAUAUCCUACAGAUGUUUAUGUUCGAAAGUUUGGCACUGGAGCAAUUUGUGGAUCGUCUUAUUGAGUGGUCCCAGUAUUGCAAUCAUAUUUUGCAAAUUUCCCAUUUGCGGAGCACACAUUCCGAAAUACUUAGUUGCUUUCAUAAAACAGGCUCUUGCUAGGAUAUCCUCUGAUCAAUACAGAUGUAGAUGGGACAACUCAUGCUUCCCAUGUUAUUAGUAACCAUUGUUCUGCACAAGCUACAUUAGGUCACGUAGAGUUCUACUGUAGUGAGUGUGUGAAAGUGAGCAUCACAUCAGAUUUCAACUUAGGAGGAAACACCCAAGUAUACUUGGUAAAAGCAUCAACACAUGUUAGCAAAUAUUUGAAACUUGUAGUGGAAACCAUUGGGGCAGGGCCCCAUACAUCAGCAAAUAAGAGAUCAAAAGGUUUAUCAUAAAUAGAACAUGGUAAGUUACUAGUUAACUUGUGAACGUUGCUCCAACAACAAGGAGUACAGAAAUCCAAAGCAGACUAAUGUGGUACAUUAACAUUGUUAAAUUGCUUAACAUCAACAUGUGUUUAAGAACCUCAUAAUGAGGGUAUCCUAAUCUAUUAUGCUACAUAGUAUAUAGAGAGGGCCCUAGGAGAGAAACACUAUUUUUUGAAGAAAGCCCAGUGAGAGUGUUGAUGGUUGCAGUAGGAGUAGCUUGAAGAGAUCCAAAAGAGUACAAGCCAACUGGUCCUUGAAGAACAACUUCAAAGGAAGCCUGAGAUUUGACAAGGCACUUGUCAGAAUGAAAUCAAGUUUUUAGUAGUGGCAGGGACAAGCAACAAGUUCUUAAGUGUGAGUGUAGUGUGUGCUCUGUAUGUGAUAGAGACCACGUGGCAAAGGAGAAUAAUGAUGAGGCAAGAUUUGGAGGGUCUAUUCUAGAAGUGGCAAAAGGGGAAAUGUGGAAUGAUUCUGUUAGAUUGGAGUGAGGAGAGAGAAUCGGGAAUUGUGUGGUCAUUCCGUUACAUAAGGGAGUGAGGAGAGAUUGAUAGGAUUAUCCUUGAGAAUCCAUUUGUUUGUUAUGGAUGGAAAGCUCUAGCUUUCCAUAGGAGCUGAGCUCUGUGUCAGUAACAGGUAUCAUUUCCCUCUCUGUAUUUUUCCAAUUUCAUCAUUGAUAAACACGAUUCUGCUUAUAUUUUCUCUUCCCUUGUUCAUUUCUCUAUUAAUUUGUUUGGGUUGUUAAAAUAGUAAAGAGAGGAGAAAUUAUAUUAUCAUAUUCACUUGGAAUGAAUGAGGUACAAUAGGUCAUAUAUAUAGAAGCUAGAGUAAGUGAUUGUGACAGCUCAUGUGACUCACAGUAUGACAGCUCAGUGACUGUGAGUCACAGUAGGACAACUUAGCAAAUAAAAAAGAAUAUAAACCUAUAUAUAUAAACCUAUAUCACUAAUACCCCCCCUUAGAAACAGAGGGUGCUGUAACCAAAUCUCUUUUGUUGAAAACUCUGAGUUUGUCCCUGCGAGGGAGAAACUUUGCUGCAAAUAAAGGCUUUGUUAGAACAUCAUCCCACUGAUCCUGGGCAGGCACAUGUGCCACACUGAGGCUGCUGUUGAGGACUUUUUCCCCAACAAAAAAGAUGUCAAGCUCCACAUGUUUUGUUCUGUUGUGAAGAACAGGGUUAUGGGUCAAAGUAACCGUGCUGAGAUUGUCACACAAGAUUCUAGGAGUUUGAAACUGACAAUGUAGUUAAGUGAGAAGAGACUGAAUCCACAACAGUUCUGCAGCCAGUUGAGCCAUGGUCCUUUACUCUGCUUCUGCACUAGAUCUAGCAACCAGUUGCUACUUCUUUGACCACCAAGAAAUCAGAUUUGGGCCUAAGAAGACACAAGCCCCGGAAGUUGACCUUCUAUUAUCAGGGUCUGCUAUCCAGUCAGCAUCACAGAAUCCCAGAAGUGACAAAGGUUGAUGCCUGAGGGCUGGCUGAAGAAGUAACCCAUAGUGAAGAGUGCUUUGAUACCAUGUUAAAAUAGUAAAGAGAGGAGAAAUUAUAUUAUCAUAUUCCCUUGGAAUGAAUGAGGUACAAUAGGUCAUAUAUAUAGAAGCUAGAGUAGGUGACUGUGACAGCUCAUGUGACUCACAUUAUGACAGCUCGGUGACCGUGAGUCACAGUAGGAUUACUUAGCAAAUACAAAAGAAUAGAAAGCUAUAUAUAUAAACCUAUAUCACUAAUAUGGGUUUCCAACAAAUUGGUCCGACCUACCGGAUUUUUGAGGAAUAAGUGAAUGCCACCAAAGAGACAAUACACCGCAGCAAUACAAUCCAUGGAAGCUAAGGUUGAAUCGCUGGAGAAUGUGCUAGCUGACGUUCAUUCUUCACUUACAACUCUGGAAAACGCCGUCAAAGAUAUGCUGGCUGCACUUAUGGCGAGGCUAGAGAAAUAUUUGGAAAGAUCGCUUCAUGUAAGCGAACCCAAUGUUCAGAUCCCGAAGGAGGGAGCGGUAUUCUGUAAGUCGCUAGAGACGAUGGGGGAGGUGACCGGAUCAGGAAGGUCUGGUGCUAAGAAGAACCCGUCACAAAGUGUGCGUUAACUGAGUUUCUUCACUUGGUUCGUAAGGUGGAGCUACCGUCGUUUGAUGGUAACGAUCCUGCGGGGUGGAUAUCGCGAGCGGAGGUAUAUUUCAGAGUACAUGACACACCACCAGAGAUCAAAGUCAGUUUGGCUCAGCAGUGUAUGGAUGGUUCUAUAAUCCACUUCUACAACUCGAUUGUGGAUGAAGAUAGAUCUCUGACACGGGCAGGUUUGAAAGAUGCCUUGCUUGAGCGCUACAGGGGGAAACAAUGAAGGCGAUGUUUAUGAACAGCUCACAGAUUUGCAUCAAAAAGGUACAAUGGAAGAAUAUAUUUCUGGUUGAGUAUUUGACUGCACAAAUCCCGAGACUACCUGACAAAAAGUUUCAGGGGUACUUUCUUCAUGGAUUGAAAGGAGAAAUUAGGGAUAAGGUACGGAGUUUGGCUGUAUUAGGAGGCAUGUCGCGUGCUAAGCUUCUGUAAGUUGCCAGAACUGUGGAAAGGGAGGUCAAAGGUGACGCUGGAUCCGGGUAUUCACGUGGGUCAAGAUCCAGUGGGUACGGGUUCAAAGCUGGAAGUAGUGGGUCAGGUGGUAAUGGGUCGGGGCAAACCGGAAACUCAGAUUAGGUUAUGGUUAAAAGAGGACCUGGGCGUGGGCCUACCGUAGGUGAUAAAAGGGGUAUUGGGCUAAAACGUGAUAAAGCAGCCCAGAAUGAUGAUAAAAGAAGUGGAGCAAGGGAUAGAGGGUUUUCUCACCUCACAUACCCAGAAUUGCUUGAAAGAAAACAAAAAGACCUUUGUUUCAAAUGUGGUGGGCCUUUUCAUCCCAUGCUUCAAUGUUCUGAUAAGUAAUUGAGGGUGUUAAUAGUAGAAGAUGGAGAUUUUGGCGGUGGAGGUCGUCGAAGCGGAAGGAGAAAUCAAGGGGGAGAUUAGCAUCAUGAAUCUCAAUGCUCAAGCUAAAACUAAACCACAAACUAUGAUGCUCCAAGGGAGAAUCCAUGAAGUACCCGUGUUGAUCUUGGUAGGUAGUGGAGCCACACGUAAUUUCAUUGACCAAAAAUUAGUGUUUAGAAUGGGCUGAGAGGUGGACAACAAAUCUGAGUAUGAAGAUUAGAUUGGGAGAUGGUUUUCAAACUAGUACGAAGGGACUAUGCAAAGAAAUUGAAGUAGCAUUGGGAGAUUUCGAAGUGAAUUGUUCCCCUCAUUUGUUCGAACUUGGAGGACCGGAUAUGGUAUUGGGAAUUGAAUGGUUGAAGACGGUGAUACUAUUGUAAAUUGGACCAAUCAAACGAUGAGUUUUUGGAGCAAUUGUAAGUGGGUUACGCUGCAAGGCUUGGGAAGUAGUGAAUCUGAGGAGGCAUUGCAAAGCAUAUUGAGAAAGAAGAAAGUGGGUAAGAAUAAAGCAGUGGAACAGAGACUGUCUAAUAUUCAACAAGAGAAAUUGCAAACCUGAGGUUGUAAACCGAUGUCUCGAAACAUAUUUACGAUGCUUUGCAGCAGAUCAACCUAAAGAUUGGGUGACAUGGAUUCCUUGGGCAGAGUAUUGGUUUAACACCACAUACCACUCUGCAACUCAGCAAACCCCUUUUGAAGUUGUGUAUGGGAGGAAACCUCCAUUACUACUGGUGCACUGGGGAUUAGGAGAGACUUGAGUAGAAGCCGUUCAAUGAGAGUUGCAGGAUUGCGAUGAAGCUCUAAGACAGCUGAAGGUUCAGUUAGUAAAGGCUCAGAAUCGUAUGCAAUCCCAAGCUGAUGUUCACAGGAAGGAGAAAUCAUUUGAAAUAGGUGAAUGACUUUUUGUCAAGUUAAGAGCUCAUCGGCAAUAAUCUGUGGUUACUUGCAUCCAUCCCAAGCUUGCAGCUAGAUAUUAUGGACUAUAUCCUAUCAUUGAAAGAGUUGGGGGCAGUGGCUUACAAAUUAAGGCUUCCAGGAGGUUCAAAGGUACAUGUUUUCCAUGUCUCAUUGUUGAAAAAGGCAAUAGGAGAUUAUCAAGAUGAUGAGCCAUUACCAGAUCACUUAGAAGGAGAGGCUGUGGGUUCGCUUUAGCCUGAGAGGGUCUUGGCAGAACGUAUGACAGAGGAACAUGGUGAAGAAGUCCAACAAUGGUUGGUGCAAUGGCAAGGAAAAGCCGCAGAGGAGGCUACUUGGGAAUAAGUGAGUCUCAUGAGAAAUCAAUUUCCAUCGUUCAAUCUUGGGAACAAGAUUGAUGUUUCAGAAGGGGGUGUUGAUAGAGACCACGUGGCAAAGGAGAAUAAUGAUGAGGCGAUCAUUUAUCACAGACACCAUGGGCCCGAGAUUUGGAGGAUCUGUUCUAGAAGGGGCAAAAGGGGAAAUAGGGAAUGAUUCUGUUAGAUUGGAGUGAGGAGAGGGAAUCAAGAAUUGUGUAGCCAUUCCGUUACGUAAGGGAGUGAGGAGAGGUUGAGAGGAUUAUCCUUGAGAAUCCAUUUGUUUGUUAUGGAUGGAAAGCUCUAGCUUUCCAUAGGAGCUGAGCUCUGUGUCAGUAACAGGGAUCAUUUCCCUCUCUGUAUUUUCCCAAUUUCACUGUAUUUUCCCAAUUUCAUCAUUGAUAAACAGGAUUCUGCUUAUAUUUGCUCUUCCCUUGUUCAUUUCUCUAUUUAAUUUGUUUGGGUUUCCAACAGUAUGGAGAGUUAAACUGAGUAGAUCCAACAGAUAAGAUAGGCAAACCUUGACCAUUGCCAAGGAGAACAUGAUCUAUGCUAGGUAGAGAAAGACUUUCUAAUAGGUGAUCAGCAUUGUUUGUCACAUGGUGGGUAGCACCUGAGUCAGGGUACCAAUUUUGGCCUGUGCUGGUGAAGCUACUGCCUUGCCUGCCUCACUACCUGUACCUGUAAUAUAAGUUUGUGGCUGAGCAGAUGGCCGAUGUGAAAAACCCGGCGGAGGUCCACGUGCAGCAGGUGAGAGCCAUUGGUUGGGAUGAGGGGAUUACUGAACCUUUGUCCAUUGAUUCCAAUUAUGUAAUGAAGGUCUUUGCCAUUGGUUUGGAUUAGGAUUAGGCCACUAAGUCUGAGCUGGGAAAUUCCAUUGAUUUUGACUAGGAAUAGGCAUCAAUGUAGAAUGCCUAUGGUAGCACACACUAGCUUCAUGCCUUGUUUUAUAGCAAAUUGGAUACUGAACUGAACCUUGAAAUGACCUCCAAACCUGCCUUUUCUGCCACGGUUAAAGCCUCUACCACCUUUGAAGGCAUCAACUCCAGUGAAAUGAGAUCGAGGAUCAAAAGGUAACACAAAAUUAUAAGCAGUAUUAGGAAUUGAGAGCAGAGUUUGAGGCUUGUGCAACAUCUAUGGAUAAAGGUUCAGUAAGAGUAGAUUUCUCCGCUCGUUCCAGUUUUGCCUCAUGAGAGAAAAACAUGGGUUCUGCUUCAAUAAUAGGACACAUAUAUGAGCGAUAUUGAAUGAUAGAGGCUAGGGGCAUUGAAUUCAUCAGGUAAGCCAUCUAAGAUAGCUUCCAAUUGAUCCUGAUGCGAAAUCAGAUCAUCAAUCGAUUCAAAGAUAUCAACUAUUUUCUAGAUUCACACAAGAUAAUCAACUUUGUGAAUAUUCAACCAAUUGAUCCUGUAAUAUGCAACUUUGUGAAUAUUUCCCCCGACUUAUUUCUUUAUUCCCUUACUGCUAUCUAUAUUUUUUCUUAUAGACAAGGCUGCACAAUUGCAAAUAACCGUCAGUUUAAAGUUUAUUUCUAUAUUAUAAUUAUUCAUUCAAACUUUCUGCAGAUAAGGGAACAACCUUCUCCACUUUUAUCUGAAUUAAAAGAGAAGCUGCUACUCUCACCAAAUGAAGCUGCCUUUGCCAGCACUCGUUACGACAUGUCAUUGAUCAACUCCCUUGUACUGCAUAUUGGAAUGCAGGCAAUCAAGCAGCUCAAGGCUCGAGCUCCCCAUACAUAAUCACCACAAACUACAUAUGGGCUGGCUAUAUUUUCUGUCGGUGCUGCUUCGGAUAAUUAAGGGCACUAUCUUUUCCUAAAUGCUGUUGCUAACCAACUGCGUUAUCCCAAUAUAUGCACACGCUACUUUUCCUUCGACAUCCUUUACUUGUUUGCAGAAUCAAACCAGGAAAAUAUCCAAGUACAAAUUACAAGAUUCUUGCUAGAACGCCUUAUUAUAAAUCAACCUCAUCCCUGGGGCCUAUUACUUUCAUUGAGCUGAUCAAGAAUCUAAGGUAUAAUUUCUGGAAGCGGUCUUUCAUAGGAUGCGCACCAGAGAUUGCAAAACAUUUUGAAUCAGUCUCGGCUGUCCAUAGAUUCGGCCUUUCUUGUUAACUAAUCAUUUUAGUCUCGAUGAUAAUCCAAAAUAGUCUAUUUCUCUAAACUAAUCAUUUUAGGCUACUUGCACACUGCCGAUUAUAAUAAAAAAUACAAUAUUUCUCAUUGUAAAUGAUAUAGUUUAUUGCAAGUUCGCUACCGUGUGAACGACUUUGCUAUUUUUAAAUUUCUCUAGGCGAUAGCAGUCCAUGAUUACUUAUAUUACUCGAGUUUUCAAAUGUUUUCCAAAUUGACCUUAUCAAAUCCACCCCCAGUGUUUUACCGUAUCUACCCGGCUUAUCAAAUCCACCCCCAGUGUUUUACCGUAUCUACCCGGCAAGGCUGCGGAGUCCAAAAGUUGGUGGUCGGAACCAAAGAUUCAUAAAAUAUCAUAGUUGGUGGUCGGAACCAAAGAUUCAUAAAAUAUCAUGUCAUCCAAAAAAAUGUCAAAAAUAUCAUAACAAACUUCUAAGACAAAUAAUUUUUAUUUUUUUAAAAAUUAAUUUAGAAAUAUAUUUUAAAAAAUACACUUGAAGUGAAUAAUAGAACUAGUCAUUUAUGGAAUUGAGUUUAUCCGAGUGUAUACUAUACAACCUCAAUCAUAGAUGCAAAUAAACAUUUCAUAAUGGAGUAUACAUAUAAGAUUAUCCAUAUAGAUAUAAGACUAUCCAGAAUUGAAUCAAUUCUGGUCCGGUUUAUUUCGGUUUGGUUAGCUAUUUUGGCUUUAUUCGGUUAUUAAUAAAAUUGGGCCAUAUCAUCUUUAAGCCAAAUUUAAAAUCCAACUAUUUUUUUAAAUUUCUUUUACAAAUAUAGACUUACAGGGCCAGUUCAA